CGUGCGACGCUUUGAUGGUGACAUGCUUAAAGCUUUGUGUUGCCUUGUUCCUAUGGUGCUUGCGGUUUGUCGGGUCACUGUCAUCAUGGUGAUGUCACGAACAAAGAAACUGCAGGAAUCUUCCUGCUUUAGUUUGAAAUUGCACAUAUUUCUCCACUCCCCAGAUGAAAAAGCUAACGUGUGUGUUUUGUGACCACUAGAUGUCAUCAUGGCGCACGAAAAAAGCCGCAGAUGAGGCCUUAGCUGUCCUCACCUUACAUGGAUGACAUCACCAAUCCUGCAGUGGAACCACAUCAAUCCAUCCAUCAUCCAUUUGUCCUUGCAUCUAAGCUUCAGAAGUCAAUAGUAAGGGAAGGAUCACGGGACGCAAUCGAAAUUGACGAGGAGCCAACGUCGCCCCCGACGCCCCCGUUCUACUAGCUUGGUGAGUUCCAAUUUUUUCCCAACUACUUAGAAUCGCGUCUGCAUGAGGAAAACCUUUUGUCGCGGUGUAACGAAUAAUGGAUUCAUUCUACAAAUCGUCAAUCAUCAAAUGAAUCCUGAAUUAUUUUGAAAAAUUGAUUUAUUAUGUAGACCUUGUUCAAUUCAAAAUGAACAUAUUUUAUAUCAAAUGUGUGUGUAUGUAUACAUAUAUAAAAAUUCAUCAUUCUGAGGCAUUAUUUGCCAACAGUUUGACCUCAGGAGGCUUUUCACAGCCUCUUCGUUAGAAUGUUUCAAGUUACGAAACUUAACAGGAAAAUAUUGCCUCGUUACCAAAAACAUUUCAAAAUACGAAAGGAAAAAAUAAAGUAUGCUGCUACUCGCAAGUCCGGGGUUCCUGAACGCAACAUACUCAUAGCUGCUUUGCCAUUGGCUAUUACCGAGCAUCAUCCUGACAUCACAUUGGCUAAGAGGGACCUUUUCCAAAUGUGUUUAUGCGUGUAGAUACAUAUGUGUGUUUGUGCAGCGUCCUCAUCAUUCACCAAUUCGUCAGUUUUUAUGCUUGAUAAAACAUUCGUCUGAAUUUUGGGGGGCUUGGAACGGAUUAGGGCAUUUACAUAGAAAACGCGUCUCAACUUCCAAAAUGUUCAAGUUCAGAAAUUUCUUGCAGAACCAAUUCAUUUCAUAAGUAGAGGUACCACUGUGUACUCACGUGAUGUCCAUUCGUCUUCCUGUUUGUGUUGCCGUUGUCGACAAACGGACUUUGAAUCCACAGCAACUAAUAACAUUGACAAAUCGGCUCACGAUCUCAUCAUCAAAUUUCCAUAGAUGGGGGAGUGGUGUGAAAGUCAGUUUAGGACAUGGAGGAUUGGAUUUAGCGUGCUUGUGCUAAUGUGUUGGAUACUUGUGGGCAGCUGGUGUUUUGUGUUUACAUCUUUGAGGAGCCGACGAUUCAAGGACACUUGCUUCACAGCUGAACUCGUUCCUUUUUUCUGGGAUAGGGGGGACAUUAAAAGCAACGUUUUUUUUAAUAGGUUGACAAACAAUAUUUAUUUAGGUUCACAAAAAUGAUAAGUUAAUUAUCAGGUAGUCCACAAAUAUUGUGGGAAUGGUCUCAUACAGUCAUACAAAGUGGGGGAAGUGGACGUACAUGACAAACCAUUUCUGAACAGGCCAACCCAGAAAAACACUCGAGAUUUAAACCAAAUAAAGUUAUGAAGCAUGGCCAAGAUGAACCGAACAGACACUUUGAUCAAAAAUAAUACCAAGGAGUAGGAGAAUAUUUUUUCAUUCGAUCCAUCAUAGCCCGAAUCUUGAACUUAAAAAAACUACCAGAUAGAUAAAAUAUUGUUUAUCUUAAAAAAAAAAAACUAAAAAUAACAAAACCAGGGCCCCAGACCCUGCAUGUAAUAUAUUGCCAUAAAUCAGGGUCACCCCUGAGCUGUCCCUUGUGCAAACCCACCCCCCACCCUCUCCUCCCCCUUAGGUCAUCGGCGGGCCGGCAACUGAUUCCACAUGUCCAUGUUGUAAAAUUCGCAUCUUGUCUUUUUGGAGUCUGGAAUUUCAAAUUAGCAUUAGGGCCACACAAAAAAAGAAAAUACGUUGUAAAAUGAUGAGAACACCAGGAAGAAAAUUAAGAAAAUGUCAUCACAGUUUGACCAAAUCAUUUUUGUCUUAUGAGAGACUUGAAAGACAACAGCCAUUUUUGGGGGGCGAGAACCGUUCUUAACCUUGCGCAAGAUUGAAUGUUGUAUUUUGAAAAAAAUUAA